rnacentral:tRNA from 1 species
GAAGGUAUAGCUCAGUGGUAGAGUGCAUGCCUAGCAUGCCUGAGGUCUUGCGUUCAAUCCCCAGUAUCCGCA